rnacentral:rRNA from 1 species
GAUGAACGCUGGCGGCGUGCCUAAUACAUGCAAGUCGAGCGAACGGACGAGAAGCUUGCUUCUCUGAUGUUAGCGGCGGACGGGUGAGUAACACGUGGAUCCCCUACCUAUAAGACUGGGAUCACUUCAGGACACCGGCGCUAAUCCCGUAUGAUAUUUUGAACCGCAUGGUUCAAAAGUGAAAGACGGUCUUGCUGUCACUUAUAGAUGGAUCCGCGCUGCAUUAGCUAGUUGGUAAGGUAACGGCUUACCAAGGCAACGAUGCAUAGCCGACCUGAGAGGGGGAUCGGCCACACUGGAACUGAGACACGGUCCAGACUCCUACGGGAGGCAGCAGUAGGGAAUCUUCCGCAAUGGGCGAAAGCCUGACGGAGCAACGCCGCGUGAGUGAUGAAGGUCUUCGGAUCGUAAAACUCUGUCAUUAGGGAAGAACAGAUGUGGAAGUAACUGUGCACAUCGUGACGGUACCUAAUCAGAAAGCCACGGCUAACUACGUG